rnacentral:rRNA from 1 species
UACGGGGGGGAGCAAGCGUUGUUCGGAUUUACUGGGCGUAAAGGGCGCGUAGGCGGUAGCACAAGUCAGUUGUGAAAUCUCCGGGCUUAACUCGGAAAGGUCAACUGAUACUGUGCGACUAGAGUGCAGAAGGGGCAACUGGAAUUCUCGGUGUAGCGGUGAAAUGCGUAGAUAUCGAGAGGAACACCUGCGGCGAAGGCGGGUUGCUGGGCUGACACUGACGCUGAGGCGCGAAGCCAGGGGAGCGAACGGG